CAGGCCGCUGCCGCGGAGAGCCGUUGUUUCCGCGGCAAAGCCGACGGCGAGCGGCUCUGGCGGUGUUUCUGAUUUGCUGCUGAUCCACCUGCUGGGGGGGGGGGCAGCGCUAACAUGGGGGAUCAGAGUAACAGGGAGCGCUCCGCCUGGGAGUCUCUGCACUUCGGCCGUUUCCGGGAGAAUGUGGAAAUGGAGGGGGUCACUGACCCGUUUGCUUGCCUGUGCUGAGGUGAUGGGACACCGUACAUACACCUGUGCUCUGCCUGGCAGAGACACCAAGAUUUAACAGCAACGUGGAGGGUAUUUUAUAAAACACUGGUGGGUCAUCACUGUCCUUGGGCAGUGGUCUGGACCAUGUGAGGCACAGAUAUUCAGUAUGUUUGCCUACAGUGGCAAAGGGAAACCCUAGCAGCCUCUUGUGUACUUGUUUAACCAUCUCUGGGGAAUGCUGAUUGUCUUCAGCUACCACCUGUUUCACUGGAUUACAAUGAAGACAGCAUAUUGACUCAUUCAAGCUUGAGACCAGUGCAUGCUUCCUUAGUGGUAUUUUUGUUGACUGUUGCAUCCUGCCCACUAUGUGCAGGAGCCAGGCUAAACCCAUGCCAGGAAACUAGAAAUAGCAAGUUGCAAGAUGUGUUUGAGAAAUCAGACUCCUAGGAUGUGGCAGCAGCUGUGUCCUUGGCUGUCAAAGUCAGAGGAAAACGAGCUGGCAGCAUGCUCUGUGGGAUGGAACACAUAGGCGACUUGGCAACAGUUCUUGCUAUGGUUGUGGUAGAGGUGGUGGAGAAUGGGGGAAGAGGGAGGAAGAAGGAGCUCAGCAAGCAGCCAAGAGGAGGGCAUAUGACUCCUAAAAGGAUGGAGACAAUUCUGCCAAGUUUGCAAAGCAACUUGAAGCAGAUGACAGCACAUAUGAAAAAGGACUCCUAUGUACAUACUCCAUGAAUACAGUUGCAUUUGCAACAAAGAGACAAAUACAGAUGGGAGAAGAGAGUUGAUCCAGUUGCAAACAGAUCCGGCAGAUUAGAGUACCACAAUGUGAUGGAAGAACAUAAAAACCAGGGAUAGGUUAUGGGAAUGCCCUCAGGAUCCAAGCAAAGCAGCUGCACACUGGAAGACAACAUCUCAGUCAGGAUUGAAAGGCAAGCAUAGCUGGGAUGCAGAAAAAGGCAUGCUACAAGGAACGGAGAAGAGUUUCACAUAGGAUAUAAAAGAAAUUAUACCUGAUACAGGCCCGUAAGGGAAAAAUGGACACAUGGAAAAUGAAAAUGCGAUGUAAAACAAAUUUUGUACUUAAGAAUGCUGAUAAGAAUACAGAUAUGAGGGAAAAGGUAAAAAGGGUCAGAUUAGGUAGUAAUAGCAAACAAUAUGAUGAAAUGUGGAUAGCAAAAGGUAAGGAUGCACACUGAAGGUACUAAAAUGUACUGAGGGGAAACGAAGAGGUCAUCAGCUUGCAGAGCCAACCACAUGGUUCCAUCUAACAGUUUGUAGGAAAGAAAACUUGUCUUAACCAACAGGUGUUUGUGUAUUUGUAUCUGUGGGUGUUUUAUCAACAAAGCUCUUUGGGCACAGGUACAUCACAAGCGUAUCUGUUGCUUUCUGCCCUCGAGGCUGUUGUGCCAGCGCUGAUUUGUGCAUUAGUAUGAAAAUGUCUCUGCUAUAAGAUGUGCGUUGAUGUAGUUUUGCGUUUUCAGUAGCUGACCAUAUAAAGGAAGGGAUGAAAAGCCUGCACUGGUAAAGAGAAAUGAGUCGUCUGUCUCCUGACAGGGAGAAGCAAAUAAGAAUGACAAUUGGCUACUUCAUACUUUUUGGCUCCUAUGUUGGGUUUAUCUCUAGGAAUGAAGCUUUUUUUCCCUGCAAAAGAGAGGGAUGAAAGAAGGGCACUUGAACCAAACCAGGGCUUGAAUGCUGCUAGCAGCUAGGCUUGAGAGGUUGGUUAGAGGGGCUUAUAAAACAGGAAGAAAAAAAAAUGAAUGUAUUUUCACAAUUUGCCUUUUUGGUACUUGUCUAGAUGUGUGUGUCUGCGUUGCAUUACAAGUUCUUUGGAGGAGGCACUGUGCACUGUAUGUGGCUAGGGAGAAAAUGUUGGUAGAUUCAUCGCAUCAUUGGAGACCAACAGCUGUAACUGUGGAGAAAAGAGAUGACAAGGUGGGGUCCUCCUACUUUCCCAUCACUCAUUAUAAUUUAUUCAGUCUCUUUCUCACUUUCUUCUAGGAGGUAUUUUUUAUUAGAUGUUCAAACUGAUCUCACUAAACUAGAGCACAGGUUCUAAAUUCAGACUUAGCACUGAGAUUUACUGAGUUUUUAUGAUAUAUGUUUUCCAAAUAGCUGGAUUAAUAACCUUGCCUGGAAUCAAUGAGUAUGUGCAUGUAGGUGGUAGCCAUUCACAUAUUUUUAUUUGCCUGCUUACUCUUGUAUUUAAACUGGCAAAUGCAUGCAGAUUUCUUUGUGUGCAUGUAUCCUGUGAUAAGUUAAUAUAAACCUUCUAGGAAAUGAAAA